CCUCUACAGGACUUUGAGAAAAUAUUUUGCUUUUUCCAGUGCAUAGUUAAUAAGAAAAGGACAGCUAUUGAAUGUGUGUUUAACAGGAUGAAGAGGAGACCUGGUAUUAGAGAAAGUGUAAUUGAAAUGAAACAUUUGUGAUGUCAGAAUUACAACCUGAGGUUACAGCACUGUGACACUUUCAG
rnacentral:lncRNA from 1 species